rnacentral:rRNA from 1 species
UACGAAGGGGGCUAGCGUUGUUCGGAAUCACUGGGCGUAAAGCGCACGUAGGCGGAUCUUUAAGUCAGGGGUGAAAUCCCGAGGCUCAACCUCGGAACUGCCUUUGAUACUGGGGAUCUCGAGUCCGGGAGAGGUGAGUGGAACUGCGAGUGUAGAGGUGAAAUUCGUAGAUAUUCGCAAGAACACCAGUGGCGAAGGCGGCUCACUGGCCCGGAACUGACGCUGAGGUGCGGAAAGCGUGGGGAGCAAACAGGG